rnacentral:lncRNA from 1 species
UACUUGACUGUGGCUAGAAACCUUCCGAUCCUGAAUUAAAAAUUCAGGUAGUCCGAUACUAAAGCACAGUGAGUUGCUUGUAAGUCAUCGUGGUGAUCUCAAGUCAGAGAAAUACUUAUAUACAUAUCCUUUCGAAGUGACUCUUGACAAUAGAGUACUCCGGAGUUGGUCACGUUUGAUGAAAUACACUCCUAUAUUUUACCUGCAUGUCAUACCAGUAUCUCCAUAUUCCUUGAUUAAGAGGCCAACCAACCUAUAUGGCACA